rnacentral:rRNA from 1 species
AUUGAACGCUGGCGGCAGGCCUAACACAUGCAAGUCGAGCGAGCGGCGGACGGGUGAGUAAUGUCUGGGAAACUGCCUGAAGGAGGGGGAUAACUACUGGAAAAGGUAGCUAAUAUCGCAUACCAUCAGAUGGGCCCAGAUGGGAUUAGCUAGUAGGUGGGGUAAUGGCGCACCUAGGCGACGAUGCCUAGCUGGUCUGAGAGGUUGACCAGCCACACUGGAACUGAGACACGGUCCAGACUCCUACGGGAGGCAGCAGUGGGGAAUAUUGAACAAUGGGCGCAAGCCUGAUCCAGCCAUGCCGCGUGUGUGAAGAAGGCCUUCGGGUUGUAAAGCACUUUCAGCGGGGAGGCGUUACCCGCAGAAGAAGCACCGGCUAACUCCGUGCCAGCAGCCGCGGUAAUAC